rnacentral:rRNA from 1 species
GAUGAACGCUGGCGGCGUGCCUAAUACAUGCAAGUCGAGCGAACAGACGAGGAGCUUGCUCCUCUGACGUUAGCGGCGGACGGGUGAGUAACACGUGGAUAACCUACCUAUAAGACUGGGAUAACUUCGGGAAACCGGAGCUAAUACCGGAUAAUAUAUUGAACCGCAUGGUUCAAUAGUGAAAGACGGUUUUGCUGUCACUUAUAGAUGGAUCCGCGCCGCAUUAGCUAGUUGGUAAGGUAACGGCUUACCAAGGCAACGAUGCGUAGCCGACCUGAGAGGGUGAUCGGCAACACUAGAACUGAGACACGGUCCAGACUCCUACGGGAGGCAGCAGUAGGGAAUCUUCCGCAAUGGGCGAAAACUUGACGGAGCAACGCCGCGUGAGUGAUGAAGGUCUUCGGAUCGUAAAACUCUGUUAUUAGGGAAGAACAAAUGUGUAAGUAACUAUGCACGUCUUGACGGUACCUAAUCAGAAAGCCACGGCUAACUACGUG